ensembl:lncRNA
AUAAACAGACAGAAAUGCUUUUAUUGUUUGAGAGAGAACAUUACAGCUUUCUCUUUCUAUUGAAUUAAAUGCAACUGGGACUUCAGCUCAUUAUGGCUGAAGCUCUGUGCCAGACUGCAAGGACCCUUUGGAUUUGUCCACAUCAUCUCAGAAAUCUUCAUGCUCUGAUGACUAUAAUGAUUUUGUGCCUUAUAGCCACUAAUGCUUCAGUCAGAGCUCAGCUCCAGGGAUUUGAUAGCACUAUUGUCACUUGCAUUCACCUCUGCAGGGGGCUCUUCUGACCCCAGAGAUGUGCACAUCAGGAAAGAGGCUGGUAGGAAAGGCUGGGAAUCAGGAAAGCGCACAUCUUACCUAAUUUCUCACCAUUGCAGUUUGCAGAAUGCAUUAAUGAGCAAGUUUUGCUACUACUGAUUUUCUGUUCCUGGCAAAGUGGGUGCAUCAGGAGAGAGACAGUGAAUAAAGCGAAGUCCUACGUGGAAGGCAUUAUGUUGUAGCUCAGCAUGAUGGUAAGCCCCGACAAAGCCUCUGCUGGGAACAUACUUUUGAAAUCUCCAGAUGCAGAUAAACUUAAUUCAGGAUUUAAUUAGGAUUGUUUCUGACACGCUUACCCAGUACACACUUUGGAUUGAGCUGCAGAAGCCAAUCUUCACAGGACGGUGCACUGUAACUCACUGAAAUAAGCUGAUGACCAUUCCCAAGACAAUUAGCACCCUCCAAGAUAUCGCCCAAGUUGGCACAAAAACAAUCUCUUUUCAAGCCUUGUUUCCAGUGAGCAAACAACUCAGCCCACGUGACAACACAGCUCCCAUUCUUCUUAGCAUUUCUAUUCAUUUUAAUCAUGUGGGAGAAGCUACAUUACCUGAUAGGGUUUACAGGUUACUUCCAUCCCUGCAAAGGAGAUGCAAAUUGCUCAGUGUUCCCAUGGCUCCAGAAAGGUUUGCAUGGUUGCAAACAGAACAACACUGAUUGCUAAGCCCACUGUUUGUCUAGCUGAUAGGCCAAGGCAGAUUCCAUCAAGCAUUUCUAUGCAGUGAAUUACAACACGCAAGCCCAAUUAGAUUCUUCCUUCCAUAUUUACUUUUAAUGGUUUCCUUCCUUUUCCCCACUUGAACCAUUGUUCUUUUCAUCCCAGACUUUAAAGUAACUCAGUUAACUUUGCAAGAUAUUCCGGGCCUCGUGUGUUUGAAGAUGGCUCCCAAAUUAGCAUGUAUGCUGUUUGUACUGAGGUCAAAAGAAACAUCAAACAAGACUGCAGAACUGCAGAUCACGUUUCAGCACAAUCAACUACUUCCCUUUUCAGACAGACUCUUACCUUGCAAUCUGGGAGAAUCUUCUGAUCUCUGUUUUAGCAAUAGCAUUCCAGGUUAUCCCAUAUUUGUCCAAAGCUCUGCUAGAUCUACUGCAUCUCCCUUACAUGGAAAGACCCCAACUUCCUAACAAGAGAUGUAGCCACCUCCUGUCCACAGAAACAGUUUUUACUGAGAGUCUCAAUGUUUGAUCCUUAACUUGUUUGUUGGGCUGGAAAUGUGCCACAGGAAAUGAGGAUACGUGUAAAAGAACACAAUAAACCUUCAGAAAUACUGUGCCUGGAGGCUACAGACUUGAGCAUUACCAUCUAUUCUACCCCUCAAGUCUUGAAAACUUUUUUCCUGAGUUCCAAAGGCCCACUACAAGGAGGUAGGCUGCACUCCUGGAGCAAAUUCUGUUACACUUGUUGGUCAGCUGUCCAGCCCCACAAGCGUGCCUAUGCCACAGAGCAGCUAUUUCACCCAUUUUCCAGUUUUCAGUGCUGCUCAGAAUCACUCCUUGCUGAUAUGAAGCAGAGAUUAAAGACUCCCGAUGCUUUCCUUGCUGCCUGUAGCAGCGCAGUGUUUUAUUGCACCUCGAUUCUGUCUGAACUUCAGGACUGGGAAUGUGAUCUUCUGUGGCUAUCACUUUCCUUCACCUCCAAAGAGCAAGAAAAUUUUUCUUCUUCGUAAGAUACCUCCUCUGGCUUUUUCUUACGCUUUAUUCCUCUUUUUGAGAAGAUCCAGUAACAAGUUUUUGUAUUUGUUCAUUUUGAAAUGUAUCACUUAGGAUCUACAUUCCUUUGCAUCUUUUGCCUAGCAGUUCACCAUCUUCCAUUUCCCUUAUUUGUAGGAUAUCUCCUCAAACAUCAUUAGAGAGCUUGCGAGUAGAUUUCAAGCUGGAGGAAAGGAGGCCAGUUUGGGUAUCAGAUGCUGGAGUGACCUUUCCCUUGAGAAGGGCAGCCAGCUUGCCAUGAACUGCACCGGAGCCAGCUGUAAGUAGGGCAGAUGUAACACCGUUGGACUCCUCCACGUUCACAAUCAGCUGAUGUGAGACCUCCAAGCUGCCAUUUGGAUGAGUCCACCAGAGCUGCCCUCACCACCAAGCACAUCCUGCCUGUGACCACAGUCAUCUGCAACCAUCUUACUGGAUGGUAUAAAAUCCUCAUUGUCAAUAUAAAAUCUCAAACUAUUUCAUUGCACCCCGCUUUGUGUUGGUGGGGUCAGAACCCAAAGUACUGAUCUGCUGACUGCCUGAUAAUCCCACAGCCAGCCCUACCACCUUUAUGCCAAAUUAGGAAUCACAUAAUUGAAGCAAAAGCCAUUUUAAUUGUUUAGGAUAAGAAAAAGGCUAAAAAAGGAAAAAAAAAACCAAAAAACCCCAAAGCAGAAGGGCAUGUAUGAGAGAAUGACAUAAAUCCCACAGGCUUGUCCCAGUUAGAGAGAAUAAAUCGGUAUCAGCAUAGUAACACAGUGGCUCCUCUGGGUGCAGUCUCAUUUCUAUUCUUGCCUUUGAAAAUCCUGUUUGUUACCCACAAGCAAAGCCAUGCCUGGAGCUGGGACUGGCACCCAGCUUCUUCUAGGAAUGACUGUAAUUUACAUUCAGGCUCUCAGCAAUUAGUGGCUAAUGAGAUAACUUCAGUAGCUUCUAACUUCACUUGAAAAACCAACGCCAACAUUAUAACCUUAAAUGGCUUUUAACUCAGGAUUUCUCAUCUCUGGGAUAACUGAUGCUCUCUCCUCACGCUGAUACAUCUUAGCAGCAAACACGGGAGCUCUGCUAACACUCAGCUUGUGUCACUAACCAGAACAGGAAAUGCUUUGCAUACAGGUGGGAGCAUUAAUGUUUGUGAUAUUAUGCUAACUCCCUAG